CCUACGGGAGGCAGCAGUGAGGAAUAUUGGUCAAUGGCCGGAAGGCUGAACCAGCCAUGCCGCGUGAAGGUCAGUGCCCUAUGGGCGUUAAACUUCUUUUGUGCGGGAGCAAUAAUGGUCACGUGUGGCCAGACGAGAGUACCGUACGAAUAAGCAUCGGCUAACUGCGUUCCAGCAGCCGCGGUAAUACGGGGGAUGCAAGCGUUAUCCGGAUUUAUUGGGUUUAAAGGGGGCGUAGGCUGGAAGGUAAGUCAGCGUGGAAAAGCAUCCGGUGAACGGGGUAAAGUGCCAUUGAUACUGCCUUGCUGGAAUGCAGAUGCGGUGGGAGGAAUGUGUGGUGUAGCGGUGAAAUGCAUAGAUAUCACGCAGAACACCGAUUGCGAAGGCAGCUCACGAAUCCGCGAUUGACGCUGAUGCACGAAAGCGUGGGUAUCAAACAGGAUUAGAUACCCUUGUAGUC
rnacentral:rRNA from 1 species